AGGAAAAGAGCCACUCAGAGUAGCCAAGGAGACUGCCUAUGCAACCACACAACAAUCUUUGGAGCAAAACAUGCACGGAUUUAAGCCCACGCGCGUUGCAGACGCUUAAGAAUAGCGUAGGAGAUCGUAGGCAAGUCAUCCUUGGCUAUCGGAGAUAGGCUCUCGUCC
rfam:Ananas comosus cultivar MD2 ACMD2_Scaffold_285, whole genome shotgun sequence.